rnacentral:lncRNA from 1 species
GAGAACUCGACGUUUAAAAACUUGUUGCAUAGUUUAGUUCGUGACAAAAUUCCAAAAGUAGGUGAGAGAGGUGAACCCUUCCUUACCUGUGUUUGUUCACGUGAUAAGACGACAUGGAGUGUGUCGUGGGCCUCGAGUGGCUAAGCUAAAGUGCUACUCGGCUUCGAAUGGCUUUGCAAUCGUCUUGUCUCUGCAUUGAUCUUGGGCAGCUGUUUACUUCACACCGUUCAACACUUAAACUUUGUCACUUUUUGUGGAAAGAAGUUCUCCCUCAAAAUGGAAUAUAUUUGAAAGGCAACUAACGACAGAAUAGGCAACAGAAUCUAUUUUUAGAGAAAUUCCAAUUUUCCCCUUUCGUAACUGGCCAUUGCCAUAGUCUCUGGGCAGGAGAUUUUGUCUUUGGCACUGUUUAUAGGAGUAGCUCUUUUCUUUAUUCUGCGCUUUGGUUGAAAGGUUCAUCCAAAUUGUCUACACUGUCCCACAGUCUUGGUACACUCCAGCGGACUUAGCUCUUCUACGGUUUAUUAGCUCGGCAGGAUGCAACUCUCGGGUCAAUGAUUCAACUGUUGGCCGGUAUACAUGCCGACUAAGGAGACGCUGCGUCGCAGUGGACUGUCGGCACAGAACUCCGGCGGUUUUGAGGUCCGCGAGGAUCUUGACGACGUGCUCGGGCAUGGGUGGAGGAGUGGGGAGGUGGUCGCCGGUGGCCUGGAAUCCGUUUUCAUCGGCCACCCAAUUGACGGUGAGGACGACGCCGUCGGGAGUCGUGAACGAGUAGGAGCCCUUGGACACGGUGCCGAUAUCCUCCGGUUUGGGUCCAACUUGUUUCUGGCUGCCACUUUCAGACACUUUGGUGCCAUCGGCAGACUCGAAACUGAUUUACAAUUCAUUAGGAUCUUAGAAUAGGAUCUAAUGACACCAGGAUUAAUUAACUUACUCGAAGGAGUAGCUGCCGUCGGCGUUCAUUUCGCUGUUGGAUGACACAAUUUCGAUGGGCUUUUUAUCUCCUUGAGGAGCGGCGAGGGCCACGGCCAAGAAAGCGACAGCGACGAUCUGGUAGUGCAUCAAGUCAAAAUAAAAGCCGGUUUCGGUUGUUUAGCUGCUCUUCUGAAGACAGUUGAAGGAAUUGUGUGAAGAAGAUUGCGAUGUUGGCCAAUUUUUAUACCCUGCAGUUGCGGUUGAGUGAAAGUGAUCAGCAAAGACCUUCCACAGAAUGCAGUUAAAUAAAAGCUACCAGCAACCAAAUUCAGACAAGGAUUUCAAGACGCCUUACCUAAAGAGAGUGUGGCGUUUCUUCUGGGUUUUUCCAAUAAGGAUGGAGUCGGUAUAAUUGGCUAAUUAAGGACUAAUUUGGAAAUGGUGUUUUGGUGCAAUGCUGUUCCUUUUUGACAUAGCACAGAAUUGACAAACUUCAUCAGUUUUGACAUCUUCGAUGCAGAUGCCCAGAUGCCAACCCUAAAUAGCGGCAUUUCCAAAUCUCUGACAUUGUUUGGAAACUUUGUAGGCUGAUUGCUUCACGAGAUUUGGAUAGAUGUGAUUUGUGGUGUUAAAUCUUUGCCUGAGCCUGAAGAUACUACACAGUCUUGCAUGCUGAUUGUAUUUGAUGCUGUGCAAGCCCUAAUGGUUAAAGGAAGGCAACCUCAUUGAUGUAUGUAUUGGUUUGGCAACUGCUUAAUCUGAAAGGGGCUCUUGUAUUUCUUCAAGUCAGAGAAUUUAUUGUAAGCCAGUAAGUUGAAUGUUCAUCUUGAAAUAGUUGAAGAGAUCGAAUGGAGUCUACUCUUCAACAACAAGGGGAUUCAACAUCGAGUUACAUAUUGAAGUUUUACAGUAGUAACUCGAGUUGAACAACAGUAAUAUAUAAUUUGUGCUAUGAUAUAUAUUCUGUAUGAGUGAGAAAUGAAAUAUACAAAUUAU